UGGAAAGUGAGCGGACAUCCAGUAAUUGUAUUGCCAGUGUGCUCAGACCUGUUGGCAGCACUCUGUGAUUAAAGAGUCCAGCUGGCAGGAGACAACAAAGGAGAGGAUGCAGCCCUUCUGCCAACUUUUGUCUUGGAAUUACAGCAACAUUAUCGUCAUGCCAGAACCAGAGCCGGGGAGAGCAGGCAUUGUAACGGGCCUCAGCAACUUCUAUAGACAUAGCUAUCGGCAGAGUCAAAGAGACCUACGAGGAUGCUGGAGGAAGCUAAGAAGAGAAAAGGAGAGCAAAGAUACAGGACGCAAGAGGCAAGAGGACAUUUCUACCAGCCGUUUCCUGUGCAAAGCUAACUGAAACUUCAAAUAGGAUCAUACCCUUCGCUGUAGCUACCUGCCCGCUGCUUCCUGCCUGCCACGCUGCCGUAUCUUCCGGUUCCACUCUGCCUGGGGUCUAGCCAUUUCACCACUGCUAGCAGGAGCUAGACCUAACCAUUAAAUUUUUCCGGAUUUCUAAUAAAGCCUGUCUUUUAGAAUCGUA